GAUGAACGCUGGCGGCGUGCCUAAUACAUGCAAGUCGAACGAACAGAUGCGGCGCUUGCUCCUCUGACGUUAGCGGCGGACGGGUGUGUAACACGAGGAUACCCUACCUAUAAGACUGGGAUAACUUGGGGAAACCGGAUCUUAUACCGGAUAAUAUAUUGAACCGCAUGGUUCAAUAGUGAGAGUCGGUGUUGGGGUCACUUCUAGCUGGUUACGGGCCGCAUUAGGUAGUUGGUAAGUUAACGGGUUACCAAGGGUACGCGGCGUAGCCGACCUGUGAGAGUGAUCGGCCACACUGGAACUGAGACACGCUCAAGAGUCCUACGGGAGGCCGCAGUAGGGAAUGGUCGGCAAUAGGCGAAAGCAUGACGGAGCAGCGGCGCGUGAGUGAUGAAGGUCUUCGGAGCGUAAAACUCGGUUAUGAGUGAAGAACAGAUGUGUAAGUAGAUAUGCACGUAUUGACGGUAACUAGUCAGAAAGCAACGGCUAACUACGUG
rnacentral:rRNA from 1 species